UACGGAGGGAGCUAGCGUUGUUCGGAAUUACUGGGCGUAAAGCGCACGUAGGCGGCUUUGUAAGUUAGAGGUGAAAGCCCGGAGCUCAACUCCGGAACUGCCUUUAAGACUGCAUCGCUUGAAUCCAGGAGAGGUGAGUGGAAUUCCGAGUGCAGAGGUGAAAUUCGUAGAUAUUCGGAAGAACACCAGUGGCGAAGGCGGCUCACUGGACUGGUAUUGACGCUGAGGUGCGAAAGCGUGGGGAGCAAACAGG
rnacentral:rRNA from 1 species